rnacentral:rRNA from 1 species
UACGGUAGGGUGCAGGCGUUAAUCGGAAUUACUGGGCGUAAAGGGCUCGUAGGCGGCCAACUAAGUCAGACGUGAAAUCCCCAGGCUCAACCUGGGAACUGCGUCUGAUACUGGUUGGCUUGAAUCCGGGAGAGGGAUGCAGAAUUCCAGGUGUAGCGGUGAAAUGCGUAGAUAUCUGGAGGAAUACCGGUGGCGAAGGCGGCAUCCUGGACCGGCAUUGACGCUGAGGAGCGAAAGCCAGGGGAGCAAAGCGGG